CAGUAGCCACGGUAAUACGGAGGGUGCAAGCGUUAAUCGGAAUUACUGGGCGUAAAGCGCACGCAGGCGGUUUGUUAAGUCAGAUGUGAAAUCCCCGGGCUCAACCUGGGAACUGCAUUUGAAACUGGCAAGCUAGAGUCUCGUAGAGGGGGGUAGAAUUCCAGGUGUAGCGGUGAAAUGCGUAGAGAUCUGGAGGAAUACCGGUGGCGAAGGCGGCCCCCUGGACAAAGACUGACGCUCAGGUGCGAAAGCGUGGGGAGCAAACAGGAUUAGAUACCCCUGUAGUCCCUGUCUCUUAUAC
rnacentral:rRNA from 1 species